AAACUUUACUGGAUGAACAGAGGCAACAUAUGAAGAAUUGCCAGUUGGAUGAGGCAACAUAUGAAGAACAGAGGCAACAUAGCGUUGUAACUUGAAACAAAAUUAUCAAUGAAACAGAAUGACAUUGUUACUUCAAGUUACGUAUAUGGCAAAUAUAUGAAGAACUGCCAGAAUAUUUGGAGGAGGUGUUGUCAUUGGAACUUGCGCGUCAAAUAGGUAUGCUAUGUUUUUCUUAACCAUGUUUGAUAUUUUCUAGAACUUGAAGGAAACGACAAAAACUAAAAUAUAGAGAAGUCACUAUAAAGCCCAGGUAGUUUCUUACAAUCCAUUUGGAUUCAAGUGGGUAUAUUACCAACGUAUAUGACUUAACAUCAUGAUCGUUAAAGGCUAGUUUUAAUAGAUAUUAAUCUCCAUUAUCUAUUAAAACACAAAGAGCAAAAGUCACUCACAGUCCCACAUCCGCUGAAUGAAGAACACACAGAUGAAGAGACUACCUAUAUAAACAGAGGCCUAUUAUGAGAAAAAG
rnacentral:lncRNA from 1 species